UUUCUGGGUCAAGGAAGAUAAGGUCUGAGAGUGUUUACAAGUUUUAUAACCAAGGAAGUCCUGGAUGACCUUGGUAAUCGCAACCCCAAUGGCAUGGGAGUGAGUGUUUACCAAUAUGAUGUCAGUACAGCUAGUGAGAUGCAACACAUCACCUUCAGCCCCUUUGCCUCUGGAAGAGAAACCAGACUGCAAAGGCACCGAGUACAGAAGCUAACGGAACUCGAAUGACAAGACAAGAAGAGUAGAACCAGUUAGUGUGACACAACAUUCUAACAUGCCUGACUGUUACAUCAAAUACAGUAAUCUGGGGGCGGGUGGGGUGAAGACAAACAAGGAAAAUCCAUUUGGGUACAAUGUGAUGGAGUUUGCAAACCAGUACUUUACCCCCAAAUUAACAACAGUUUGUAUAGAACAAAGUGCUACUUUAAAAGUACACGGUUUGUACAGGUA